rnacentral:rRNA from 1 species
GACGAACGCUGGCGGCGUGCUUAACACAUGCAAGUCGAACGAUGAACCAGGGCUUGCCCUGGGGAUUAGUGGCGAACGGGUGAGUAACACGUGGGCAACCUGCCCCUGACAUCGGGAUAACUCCGGGAAACCGGGGCUAAUACCGGAUAUGAGCUUCGAGGGCAUCCUCGAGGCUGGAAAGUUUUUCGGUCAGGGAUGGGCCCGCGGCCUAUCAGCUUGUUGGGGGGGUAACGGCCCACCAAGGCGCCGACGGGUAGCCGGCCUGAGAGGGCGACCGGCCACACUGGGACUGAGACACGGCCCAGACUCCUACGGGAGGCAGCAGUGGGGAAUAUUGCGCAAUGGGCGAAGGCCUGACGCAGCGACGCCGCGUGAGGGACGACGGCCUUCGGGUUGUAAACCUCUUUCAGCAGGGACGAAGCGAAAGUGACGGUACCUGCAGAAGAAGCACCGGCCAACUACGUGCCAGCCGCCGCGGUAAAAC